rnacentral:rRNA from 1 species
UACGGAGGGUGCAAGCGUUGUUCGGAAUCACUGGGCGUAAAGCGCGUGUAGGCGGCUUCCUAAGUCUGGUGUGAAAGCCCGGGGCUUACCCCCGGAAGGGCACUGGAAACUGGGGAGCUAGAGUACCGGAGAGGAGGGUGGAAUUCCUGGUGUAGCGGUGAAAUGCGUAGAUAUCAGGAGGAACACCGGUGGCGAAGGCGGCCCUCUGGACGGAUACUGACACUGAGGCGCGAGAGCGUGGGGAGCGAACAGG